rnacentral:rRNA from 1 species
UACGUAGGGGGCAAGCGUUGUCCGGAAUCAUUGGGCGUAAAGAGCGUGUAGGCGGUUCGGUAAGUCGGCUGUGAAAGUCCAGGGCUCAACCCUGGGAUGCCGGUCGAUACUGCCGGACUAGAGUUCGGAAGAGGCGAGUGGAAUCCCCGGUGUAGCGGUGAAAUGCGCAGAUAUCGGGAGGAACACCUAUGGCGAAGGCAGCUCGCUGGGACGUUACUGACGCUGAGACGCGAAAGCGUGGGGAGCAAACAGG